UUAUGAAUUUUUGGUCUUGAAUCGUAUAACAAGGAAGCACUACUUUACUUUUUGGGAUCUCGUUGAGGUUCUAGUUUUAUAUAUUCAAUCAUACACAUGACAUCUAGUCAUAUUUCACUCCGAAACGCUAACCAAGAUUCUUCUUGCUUCUCUAAGUAUCAUACUAUAUUUGAUCCUAAACACUAAACCUAAACUCUACACCCUAAAUCCCAAAACCUAAAAUCCAACCCCUAAACCCUAACCCCUGAACCCUAAAUCCUAAACCCAAAACCGUAAACCCUAAACCAUAAAAUCU
rnacentral:sRNA from 1 species